rnacentral:lncRNA from 1 species
AUGACGAUUUCAUCACUGAAUCUGCCUGAUCAAAAUAUAUUUAAGAAGAUUUCAAGUAGCACCACUCCAGAGUCAGAACAAACACAAAGACCAGAUGGAAAAAAGGCAUUGUUUUGUAAGAAGAGAGAUGCCCUUCAAAAAAAACAAAGCCGGCUGACGUACAGAACUGACUGGGCUCCUGUUCCAAAUUACACCGGUUACAUCCCAGGUCACAAGUUCUCAUUUGGAAAGACUUGGGGCAUAAGCACCAGGGAGUCCCUGGAGAGACAGAAGAAAUUCCUACGUGGUGUUCUUACAUCAACUGGCAGAUAGGAGCCUUCAGAAAAAGGUGUGCUACCAAGUGUUAUACACCGAGUAAGCAUCAGCACAUCAUUUCUAAAAACAUUAAAAUAAUUUAACUCUUUUCUUAUUUGUUGUUUGGAAGCAUGAUUGAAAACCUAAAAUCAUUUUUAGGGCUGAGUUGAUAUAAGUCACCUUAUAAAUACCAAGAAAUCAAAUUUGAGUCUCUCCUUUUUGUGAUUAACGUUCUUGAGAACAUAGAGUAGACCUUUGGGAAUUUUAAGGGUAUCAUCUCCAUCUCUAAAGUUUAGGUAAUAACGAUUCCAACACCAAUCCACCCAUCAAUAAGAAGCAGCUUUAGUUAUACCACAGUGCCACAAGGUAAUGAAUAUAGGUGCUUUGCAACAAUAUGAACUGGAUGUGCCACCCCAUGAUGAACCCAACUCUCAUCUAUAACCUCUGUAAUAGAAACCUGAUUAUUAGAAUUCAACUCCAGGGACUUUCCUGCUUUAUGAAGAACAGGAAAGGAUUUUGAAUCAAUGAGAUACAUGCUCAGGACAAGAAAUCCCCUUUCUGUGCAGCUAACUCUUUCCCCUCUUUAUCAGAAAUUCCUUGAGAGAUAGAAGUCUCUGGCUCCAUGACAGAUGUAAACAUACGGGUGAAACCAUAAAAGGCUCUCCCUUCACAGAAUGGAUCCCCUCUCCAUCCUGAGAAAAGACAAAGAAUCUGAGACAUGGUGCUUCCUGGAGUGUAUUUUUCGCUUCCCAUAGGCCCUCCCACUAGAAAGCCUAUGAGUAUCAGAAGGCUCUGCUUCAUGGAGCUUCCACCCCUUUUUGUGGCUUUUCAGUGUCUUGUGGUCUCUCCUGAUAUGCAAGACCCUUCAUGUUUCUUAGCUGCCUCAAUGACAGUGGAACCGAUUUGGUUCCCAGCGGUGGGCCUUUGGUUAAUUCUCUCUCCAUGCCUUUAAGGACCUCUGAUACACCACCGAGCAGAUUCAUCAUCUGAGUAAAGACUGGAGUAUGUCAUUCUUCUGAAACUGACUGUCCCCAUCUCCCCAUCAAUCGACAUUAGGAUAACAAAGUUCAGGCAGAUGUUGGGUCUAAAGACCAAAAAUAAGUAGUAAUGAUCCACGAUGUUCAUAAAGGCCCAAGAUUAGCCAGAGUCUAAGCCAGGGGUCCUCAAACUUUUGAAGUGGAGGGCCGGUUCAUGGUCCCUCAGACUCUUGAGGGGCCGAAUUAUCAUUUGAAAAAAAUAUAUGAACAAAUUCCUAUGCACACUGCACAUAUCUUAUUUGUAGUGCAAAAAAACCCCAACCAUUAUUUUUUUAUUUACUACAUUUAUAUCCCACCCUCUCUCACCCUGAAGGGGAGUCAGAGCGGCUUACAAGUUGUAUGUACAUACAAUAUAUUAUAUUAUUAGCAUAGCACAAUAUUAGCAUUAUAUAUUACUAUAUUGUACUAUACCACUAUAUG